GGAUAUUGCCGAUAGAGAGGAGGAACACGAAGUCACCAGGGCCCAAGUUAGAGUGUUGUGUUAGUGUGUCAUAUAGGGUUAUGGAACCCUCGAGUUAAUGUAGCACCGAUAUACGGUGUUACGAGCUAGAUCGAAUCAUAGUUACUCAUAGUCUUAUUAUUGUGAUUGUGUUUGGUUGUUGAUUGAUUUGUUUGCCGGUUUUGACAUUAAGUCCUAAGUCUGGUUUAGGUACCAGAUUAGGCUUGGUGUGUAUUUGGUUAUUGUAGGCCUGACGUUGGCAUGUAUGUGUUUGAGUGAUCGCUUGUGAAAGGUGGUGGAUAUUAAAGCUAUGCGGUAUCAUUAGUUGGCCGAUCAUGUUCUUGUUUGAUUGUUGGUCGAUCGGCUAAUGAUACUUGUAUAGUCUAAGUGUCUAACACUACAUGAGUACAGAACUCAGGCGUAUAUAUGGUUAAAUAGGGAUUGGUUGUUGAUUUGUUUUGGUUCUCGUUACUUGAAGCUAGAUCAUGGCAGGAGGCCAAGUCUAAC
rnacentral:lncRNA from 1 species